rnacentral:rRNA from 1 species
AGCAGCCGCGGUAAUUCCAGCUCCAAUAGCGUAUAUUAAAGUUGUUGCAGUUAAAAAGCUCGUAGUUGAAUUUCGGGGUCUGUCCGUCGGUCGGGCUUCACAGUCCGUACUGGUGUGAUGGGUUCCUACCUUCUGAAUAACCGGCAUGCCAUUCAGUUGGUGCGCCGGGGAAGCAGAGCUAUUACCUUGAAAAAAUUAGAGCGCUUAAAGCAGGCUAGUGCUUGAAUAGAUUAGCAUGAAAUAAUAAAAUAGGACGGCAUGGUUCUAUUUUGUUGGUUUCUAGGAUCACCGUAAUGAUUAAUAGGGAUAGUUGGGGGCAUUAGUAUUCAAUUGUCAGAGGUGAAAUUCUUGGAUUUAUUGAAGACUAACUUCUGCGAAAGCAUUUGUCCAAGGAUGUUUUCAUUAAUCAAGAACGAAAGUUAGGGGAUCGAAGACGAUCAGAUACCGUCGUAGUCUUAAACCNUAAACUAUGCCGACUAGGGAUCGGACGAUGUAAUUUUUAAUGA